AGAGUUUGAUCAUGGCUCAGAUUGAACGCUGGCGGCAGGCCUAACACAUGCAAGUCGAACGGUAACAGGAAACAGCUUGCUGUUUCGCUGACGAGUGGCGGACGGGUGAGUAAUGUCUGGGAAACUGCCUGAUGGAGGGGGAUAACUACUGGAAACGGUAGCUAAUACCGCAUAACGUCGCAAGACCAAAGAGGGGGACCUUCGGGCCUCUUGCCAUCGGAUGUGCCCAGAUGGGAUUAGCUAGUAGGUGGGGUAACGGCUCACCUAGGCGACGAUCCCUAGCUGGUCUGAGAGGAUGACCAGCCACACUGGAACUGAGACACGGUCCAGACUCCUACGGGAGGCAGCAGUGGGGAAUAUUGCACAAUGGGCGCAAGCCUGAUGCAGCCAUGCCGCGUGUAUGAAGAAGGCCUUCGGGUUGUAAAGUACUUUCAGCGGGGAGGAAGGGAGUAAAGUUAAUACCUUUGCUCAUUGACGUUACCCGCAGAAGAAGCACCGGCUAACUCCGUGCCAGCAGCCGCGGUAAUACGGAGGGUGCAAGCGUUAAUCGGAAUUACUGGGCGUAAAGCGCACGCAGGCGGUUUGUUAAGUCAGAUGUGAAAUCCCCGGGCUCAACCUGGGAACUGCAUCUGAUACUGGCAAGCUUGAGUCUCGUAGAGGGGGGUAGAAUUCCAGGUGUAGCGGUGAAAUGCGUAGAGAUCUGGAGGAAUACCGGUGGCGAAGGCGGCCCCCUGGACGAAGACUGACGCUCAGGUGCGAAAGCGUGGGGAGCAAACAGGAUUAGAUACCCUGGUAGUCCACGCCGUAAACGAUGUCGACUUGGAGGUUGUGCCCUUGAGGCGUGGCUUCCGGAGCUAACGCGUUAAGUCGACCGCCUGGGGAGUACGGCCGCAAGGUUAAAACUCAAAUGAAUUGACGGGGGCCCGCACAAGCGGUGGAGCAUGUGGUUUAAUUCGAUGCAACGCGAAGAACCUUACCUGGUCUUGACAUCCACAGAACUUUCCAGAGAUGGAUUGGUGCCUUCGGGAACUGUGAGACAGGUGCUGCAUGGCUGUCGUCAGCUCGUGUUGUGAAAUGUUGGGUUAAGUCCCGCAACGAGCGCAACCCUUAUCCUUUGUUGCCAGCGGUCCGGCCGGGAACUCAAAGGAGACUGCCAGUGAUAAACUGGAGGAAGGUGGGGAUGACGUCAAGUCAUCA
rnacentral:rRNA from 1 species